GAUAAUCUUAUCUGCCCAGCAGCUUGGGGGGUGGGUGCUUGUCUUAGCCCCUCCCACAGAUGAGGAAACUAAGGCUCCGGGUCCUCAACCCGCCAAGGUCACACGCGCAGAAGGGGGCAGAACUGGGAUGUCACGGCCACGUUCACCCCCAAGGCCUGUUCUCUCACAUCCUCUGUCCCUGCCCAGACCCUGUCCGGGGCGCUGGUCCCAGAGGCGAGGAGAUGAUAAUGAUGGUGACAAUGAUGGUGAUGACGGUCAUGAUGGUGACAGGGAUGAUGAUGGCGAUGGUGACUAAUACUCGGCUCUCACUCUGUGCCCCGGUCCUCAGCACUCAGCAGAUGACACUUCAUUUAGCCCUUACAGCAACCCCGGGAGAAGGCCAGGAAAUCGAGGCCCAGGGGUCAUCUGACAAAACGUGGCAGAGCCAGGAUUAGAACCAGGUGCGUCUGAUGGAGGACAUCAGAUUCUCUGAGGUAACCCGAAGAAGAAUCCAGAAGCUUCUCCAAUGCCAGAGGCCUGACAGCUCACUGAGACCUGCCCAGACCUUUAUCUCAGGGAUUCUGGGGGUUGGACUUAGCCUCCUCCCCUCCCAGCACCGGAACGGCCAAGUGCAUCAAACCCUGACUCCUAUGACGGCCUCUCCUGUGCCCUCCACGCCUCCACCGCCCCCCCCCCCAACGCAUCCUCACAGUGCCCGUUGCGAAACAAUGGCCCCUCACCCCUGCACCCUCAGCUUUCAUAGCAAAGCCCCAGCAGCUCAACUGCCACUGCCCGGGGACCCCACUUCUGUAGGCGCCACGGGCCAAGCACAUGUGGGGGCUCCUGGCUUCUUCUUCCUCGCCCCCCACGUAAGCCGCCACCCUCCCCAGUCUCCACCGUCACUUCGCCAGCCUCCCGGGCUCCAGAUCCGAUACCCGCGCGUUUCCGUGUUCCCGUGAGUGGCUGGUUCACCAGCCCCUCGAACACCAGCACCCCAAGCAGCUCACAUCUUGCAUAAACCAUGCCUUCCACUCGCCAGGACUGCUCCAGGGGGACUGGCUGUCCCGCCUUGCCUGGGCCUGAAGGGGUUGCGGGACAUGGGACUUUGAGUACUCACGCCUGCAGGGAGCAGAGGGGCGGGCAGAAAAGUCGGUCACGCCAUUCCCAUCCCACUCGUCCUGGACUAACUCAGCUCCCCGAUUUAAAGCCAGUCCUUCCCUGACCCCCCACCCAGCCAGGUCGGAUUCUAUGCACGUGCCGGUUACCCCAUCUCGUGUCAUGACUGUUUAUGAGUCUACACUAGGACCCCCCUGGCAGCAGGAACCGUGUGUGACUCAAUCCAGAUAGCUCCAGAGCUUAGUAAUGACCCAGCAUACAGAAGAUGUCAAGAUGCAUGGAAGGAAGGAAAAAAGAAAGACUCAAGUGUUCUGAAUCGGAUACAACGAAGAUUCCAGCAGAUACAAAUUAAAAAAACGACUCGGGGAGGAAUGUAUGGAAGAUUCCAAAGGCUCGUCAUCGGCGCGGUUUUAAAGGGUGGCUCCCGUCGCUGGUGUGAGCUCCGAGCGGCACGACCUCUCUGGGGGCGCAAUGUGAUGACAUCCGUCCGUCGCUCCGGCCCGUGACCCAGCAGCGCCGUGUCCCAAGUUCAUCCUGCAGACAGAGGCAGGCCCGCGUAGGAAACGUGCGCGCCAAGACGGGAAGCAGCCGGAAUGGGCAUCGAUGGAGGACGCCGGGUAAGCGGAGAAAGGACCAUGCAAGGCGACACAGCCGCGACAAACCCAAGCAGGCAAUUCUCCGCGCCUGACCCGGCACCAUCCCCAGGGGGUGUGGAGGAACCAACAAAAGCCCAGCUCAGAACGAAGUGUUUUUAUUAAGGAAUCGGAAGAAAAAAAAAAUGUAGAGGCCCCUCUAUGGAGCUUGUGUCUGGCUGUCACCACUGCCUACAACGUCUGCUUGGAGGACAGCAGUUAGAUAGGGUCAGGAAUCGGCCCGAGCUCUGGAACGAUGCCUCUCAGUCAAGCCUGGCUCCAGGGCCAGGAACCCCGGACCCCCAGAGAACAGGGGACCCCCGAGCAGUGAGGAUGCCAGCUUCCGGCAGUGGGCAGGCGCGAGGUGGGUCACAUGUGGCCCUGCAUCGCGUAGAGAGAGACUCCACUGACAGCAGAGGUGGCUCGGGCCCACCACAAAAGGCUGAUUUCCAAGAGACGCUGAACGUCCGGAUUUCAAAACACGUGAAAUCCUCCCGCUUAAAAUCCUGGCCAUAAAUUCUAACGAAUACACAACACUCCCCCGCGACCAGGCCUGCCUCAGAAGACAACACAGGAAGGGACAUCGG